GACAGAGGGUGCAAACGUUGUUCGGAAUUACUGGGCGUAAAGCGCGUGUAGGCUGCUCGGAAAGUCGGAUGUGAAAGCCCCGGGCUCAACCUGGGAAGUGCACUCGAAACUGCAGAACUCGAGUCCUGGAGAGGAAGGCGGAAUUCUCGGUGUAGAGGUGAAAUGCGUAGAUAUCGGGAGGAACAUCUGUGGCGAAGGCGGCUACCUGGACCAGCACUGACACUGAGGCAUGAAAGCGUGGGGAGCAAAC
rnacentral:rRNA from 1 species